UGUGUGUGUGUGUUAGUACUUUAGGUUCAGUGUAGGAGGUAUGACUGAUGUGGCUGAGAUAAAGGGACACAGGAGGACGUAUGUUGGUCCAAUGCCUGGUAAAGUGAUACAGAGUUUGAGGAAAGUAUAGACCAAGAAUCCACUCAUACUGAUUGAUGAGGUUGAUGAACUGGGACGUGGGUACCAGGGUGAUCCAGCCAGUUCUUUGUUAGUAUUGGAUCCAGAGCAGAAUUCUUUCUUUUUGGAUCAUUAUCUUGAUUUUCCUGUGGCUCUAUCAUGUGUCCUGUUCAUUUGUAUAGCCAAUACAACUGACACUAUACCAGGACCACUCAUUGACAGAAUGGAAAUAAUACAAAUAUUACAUAAAGCAGCUUUUAAAGUCGUAUCACAGACACAGACUAAUGAUGAUGAAGCUGAAGCUGAAGAUGAUGAAAAGCAAGAAGAAACAAAAGAAGAAGAGAAACCUUCUCCCCCUCCUGUUCCUCCUGUCACUGUCUCUUCCUCCAAUUUAAAAGAUUUUGUCGGUCAUCCUCCGUUUAUUUCCGAUCGCCUCUACGAGACCACACCCCCUGGCAUUGUCAUGGGUCUGGCUUGGACGUCAAUGGGAGGCACUACUCUUUAUGUGGAGACAGGCAUGGCUGAGGGGCAGGGCCUGUCAAAGGAGGGGAGAGGAGAAAGGGGGUAUGACUACCACUGGGCAGUUAGGAGAUGUAAUGAAGGAGUCCACUGUCAUUGCUUACACUUUUGCUAAGUCAUUUUUGUCUUCAAAAGAUCCUACGAUGAUUUCCUUUAGAAAGCAAAAAUUCAUCUCCAUUUAGGCACGUACAUGUACCUGAGGGUGCUACCCCAAAGGAUGGUCCCUCUGCAGGUGUCACUAUAGUCUCUGCCCUCCUCUCACUGGCUAUGGAUUGUCCAAUACAUCAGAAUGUUGCCAUGACUGGGGGCCUGUCACUCACUGGAAAGAGAGUAAUUGGCUCAGAUCAUUGAGGCUGGUAAAAGAGUUAUAGAUGAUCCUACACAUCUUGCUGAUUUUGGAGCUGCACUGACCAGUGGAGAAUCACAUCAAAUUCAAGCAGUUCUUGAAUGUCCAGACGUAAUCACUUCAAGUCUACUGUGGCAGGAGAACUGGAAUAAAAUUGUCGACUUAUUUAACUUUAAUUUUAUUAAAUAAAUUAUAUUAAAAUUAUUAAAACGUCAAAUAGAAAACUCAAUACUAUUGUUUCAUAAUAAAAGUACAUCAAAAUACAACAA